GCACUCAACCAGUCUUCCUCCACCAGCUGCAGUUGGCAUUUACAAUGAAGCGAGUUUCCCUUCCAUUCAUCUUUCUUGCCCUUCUAUUACUGUCCUCUGUGGCUUUUGCACGCACACUAUAUCAGAAUAAGAAUGAAAACAAUCCGAACCAUGGGGUUGACCAAUGGUCACGCAUAAUAGGCGGGGGAGUACGCGGAGGAGCAAAAGGAGGAUGCGCACUUUUCUGCCAUUAUUUAAAUCGGUGCUGCACGGCGGCGGAGUAUGCCGAGUUCGAGAAAGCUCACAGUGUUCCUAAGAACUGAAACUUUAUAUGAUGAUGGUGAUGAUGAUAGUAUCUAUGGUGCUUAUCAAUAAGAAGGAGUGCAUGCUUGCUGCUCUGCAGAAGAGCAUGCAUGCAUUCUGUGGAUUUCCUAGUUCUUGCUGUUAGUAAGAACCAAUGUAUAUUUACAGUUUGUCAUGUUUGUACCUGUGCAAUGAAAUUAAAUGACUUUUGUUCAGUUA